rnacentral:rRNA from 1 species
GACGGGACCCGCACAAGCGGUGGAUGAUGUGGUUUAAUUCGAUGCAACGCGAAAAACCUUACCCACCUUUGACAUGUACGGAACCCUUUUAGAGAUAGAGGGGUGCUCGAAAGAGAGCCGUAACACAGGUGCUGCAUGGCUGUCGUCAGCUCGUGUCGUGAGAUGUUGGGUUAAGUCCCGCAACGAGCGCAACCCUUGUCAUUAGUUGCUACAUUCAGUUGGGCACUCUAAUGGGACUGCCGGUGACAAGCCGGAGGAAGGUGGGGAUGACGUCAAGUCCUCAUGGCCCUUAUAGGUGGGCUACACACGUCAUACAAUGGCUGGUACAAAGGGUUGCCAACCCGCGAGGGGGAGCCAAUCCCAUAAAGCCAGUCGUAGUCCGGAUCGUAGUCUGCAACUCGACUACGUGAAGUCGGAAUCGCUAGUAAUCGUGGAUCAGAAUGUCACGGUGAAUACGUUCCCGGGUCUU